AGAGUUUGAUCAUGGCUCAGAUUGAACGCUGGCGGCAGGCUUAACACAUGCAAGUCGAACGGUUUUGAGUACUUGUACUUAAGAUAGUGGCGAACGGGUGAGUAAUGCCUAGGAAUCUGCCGAUUAACGGGGGAUAACGUUCCGAAAGGAACGCUAAUACCGCAUACGCCCUACGGGGAAAGCAGGGGAUCUUCGGACCUUGCGUUAAUUGAUGAGCCUAGGUCGGAUUAGCUAGUUGGUGAGGUAAAGGCUCACCAAGGCGACGAUCUGUAGCGGGUCUGAGAGGAUGAUCCGCCACACUGGGACUGAGACACGGCCCAGACUCCUACGGGAGGCAGCAGUGGGGAAUAUUGGACAAUGGGCGGAAGCCUGAUCCAGCCAUGCCGCGUGUGUGAAGAAGGCCUUUAGGUUGUAAAGCACUUUAAGCGGGGAGGAGGCUACCUGGGAUAAUACCCUGGAGUAGUGGACGUUACCCGCAGAAUAAGCACCGGCUAACUCUGUG
rnacentral:rRNA from 1 species